rnacentral:rRNA from 1 species
UACGGGAGGCAGCAGUGGGGAAUAUUGCACAAUGGGCGAAAGCCUGAUGCAGCUAUGCCGCGUGUAUGAAGAAGGCCUUAGGGUUGUAAAGUACUUUCAUCGGGGAGGAAAAAAACAAAACUAAUAAUUUUAUUUCUUGACGUUACCCGAAAAAGAAGCACCGGCUAACUCCGUGCCAGCAGCCGCGGUAAUACGGAGGGUGCUAGCGUUAAUCAGAAUUACUGGGCGUAAAGAGCACGUAGGUGGUUUUUUUAAAGUCAGAUGUGAAAUCCCUGGGCUUAACCUAGGAACUGCAUUUUGAAACUGAAAUACUAGAGUAUCGUAGAGGGAGGUAGAAUUCUAGGUGUAGCGGUGAAAUGCGUAGAUAUCUGGAGGAAUACCUGUGGCGAAAGCGGCCUCCUAAACGAAUACUGACACUGAGGUGCGAAAGCGUGGGGAGCAAACAGGGAUUAGAUACC